rnacentral:tRNA from 1 species
UAGCUCAGACGGUAAAGCGUCUGCCUGCAAUGCAGGAGACCUAGGUUCGAUCCCUGG